GACUCUGAACAGAAUAUCUCCAUCCUGUCGUUGGUUGUGAACCACAGUGCCAUUGCCAUCUAAGGCUUUUGAUGCUAACUGCACGGAGCAUUUGCAUAGCACACUAUGAGCAUCGCAUUAUGGGUAGAAGAAUCAAGUGCUCUUCCCUUUGGAAAUCGAGCAAGGCCUUUUACAAGACAUUUAAGAGAACUCCUCCAAUCCGCUAAGCAAUCCACUAAGCUAUUGAAACAGACUUCUGUGGCCACAUACAAAAAUGCUGCAUCAAAGGACGAGUGGAUAAAGAAGGUGUGAUACAUAUAUGCAAUGGAAUAUUACUCAACAAUAA